UACGUAGGGGGCAAGCGUUAUCCGGAUUUACUGGGUGUAAAGGGAGCGUAGACGGAAUUGCAAGUCUGAUGUGAAAAUCCGGGGCCCAACCCCGGAACUGCAUUGGAAACUGUAUUUCUAGAGUGUCGGAGAGGCAAGUGGAAUUCCUGGUGUAGCGGUGAAAUGCGUAGAUAUCAGGAGGAACACCAGUGGCGAAGGCGGCUUGCUGGAUGACAACUGACGCUGAGGCGCGAAAGUGUGGGGAGCAAACAGG
rnacentral:rRNA from 1 species